rnacentral:rRNA from 1 species
GUUGAUUCUAGCUCAGAUUGAACGCUGGCGGGAUGCUUUACACAUGCAAGUCGAACGGCAGCAAUGACUUCGGUCUGGUGGCGAGUGGCGAACGGGUGAGUAAUGUAUCGGAACGUGUCAGGCGGGGGAUAACUACGCGAAAGCGUAGCUAAUACCGCAUACGCCCUUCGGGGGAAAGCGGGGACCUUUCGGGCCUCGCACUAUUAGAGCGUCGAUAUCGGAUUAGCUAGUUGCGGGGUAACGGCUCACCAAGGCGACGAUCCGUAGCUGGUUUGAGAGGACGACCAGCCACACUGGGACCAGACACGGCCCAGACUCCCAUGGAGGCAGCUAUGGGGAAAUUUUGGAUUGUAAUGGGGGAAACCCUGAUCCAGCCAUCCCGGCGUGUGCGAUGAAGGCCUUCGCUCACGCGGCUUUUGCAGGAAAGAACGGCACGGGAUAAUACCUUGCAAACUGGAUUAUACCUGCAGAAUAAGCACCGGCUAACUACGCCAGCAGCCGCGUGUAAUACGUAGGUGCAGCGUUAACGUUCAUUGAGCAGCGCGCAGGCGUCUGGAAGAAAGAUGUGAAACCUGUAGCCAACUUUCGAACUUACGCGGAAACGUCAUCAGAGCUAGAGUAAGCCGAGGGAGGUGAAUUCCGCGUAGCAGUGAAAUGCGUAGAGAUAUGUGAGGAACACCGAUGGCGAAGGCAGCCUCCUUCUGGCGUCACCGACGCUCAUGCACGAAAGCGUGCGGGAGCAAACAGGAUUAGAUACCCUGGGUAGUCCACGCCCUAAACGAUGUCAACUAGCUGUUGGGGGCCUUCGGGCCUUGGUAGCGCAGCUAACGCGUGAAGUUGACCGCCUGGGGAGUACGGUCGCAAGAUUAAAACUCAAAGGAAUUGACGGGGACUCGCACAAGCGGCGGAUGAUGUGGAUUAAUUGAUGCAACGCGAAAAACCUUUACCUACCCUUGACAUGUCUGGAAUCCCGGUAGACUGGGAGUGCUCGGCAAGAGAAACCGGAACACAGGUGUUACAGCGGUCACGUCAGCUCGUGUCGUGAGAUGUUGUUAAGUCCGCAACGAGCGCAACCCUUGUCAUUAGUUGCUACGAAAGGGCAAUUCUGAAUGAGACUGCCGGCACAAACCGAGGAAGGUGGGAUGACGUCAAGUCCUCACGGCCCUAUGGGCAGGGCUUCACACGUCAUACAAUGGUCGGGACAGAGGGUCGCCAACCCGCGAGGGGAGCCAAUCCUCCCAGAAACCCGAUCGGUCCGGAUCGCAGUCUACAACUGAUCAUGUGAAAGUCGGAAUCGCUAGUAAUCGCGGAUCAGCAUGUCGCGGUGAACGAUGUUCCUGGUCUUGUACACACCGCCCGUCACACCAUGGAGUGGUUUCACCAGAAGUAGUUAGCCUAACCGUAAGGAGGGCGAUUACCGCUGGUAGGAUUCAUGACUGGGGUGAAGUCGUAACAAGGUAG